CACGUAGGAGGCGAGCGUUGUCCGGAAUCAUUGGGCGUAAAGAGCGCGCAGGCGGCUUGGCAAGUCGGGUGUGAAAUCCCGGGGCCCAACCCCGUGACUGCAUCCGAUACUGUCAGGCUAGAGGUAGGUAGGGGAGAUCGGAAUUCCUGGUGUAGCGGUGAAAUGCGCAGAUAUCAGGAGGAACACCGGUGGCGAAGGCGGAUCUCUGGGCCUUACCUGACGCUCAGGCGCGAAAGCUAGGGGAGCGAACAGG
rnacentral:rRNA from 1 species